rnacentral:rRNA from 1 species
AGAGUUUGAUCCUGGCUCAGAACGAACGCUGGCGGCAGGCUUAACACAUGCAAAGUCGAACGCACCGCAAGGUGAGUGGCAGACGGGUGAGUAACGCGUGGGAACGUGCCCUUCAGUUCGGGAUAACCCAGGGAAACUUGGGCUAAUACCGGAUACGUGCGAGAGCAGAAAAAUUUAUCGCUGAAGGAUCGGCCCGCGUCUGAUUAGCUAGUUGGUAGGGUAAUGGCCUACCAAGGCGACGAUCAGUAGCUGGUCUGAGAGGAUGAUCAGCCACAUUGGGACUGAGACACGGCCCAAACUCCUACGGGAGGCAGCAGUGGGGAAUAUUGGACAAUGGGCGCAAGCCUGAUCCAGCCAUGCCGCGUGAGUGAUGAAGGCCUUAGGGCUGUAAAGCUCUUUCGGCGGGGACGAUAAUGACGGUACCCGCAGAAGAAGCCCCGGCUAACUUCGUGCCAGCAGCCGCGGUAAUACGAAGGGGGCUAGCGUUGUUCGGAAUCACUGGGCGUAAAGGGCGCGUAGGCGGCCUGAUAAGUCGGGGGUGAAAGCCUGUGGCUCAACCACAGAAUUGCCUUCGAUACUGUCGGGCUUGAGACCGGAAGAGGUCAGUGGAACUGCGAGUGUAGAGGUGAAAUUCGUAGAUAUUCGCAAGAACACCAGUGGCGAAGGCGGCUGACUGGUCCGGUUCUGACGCUGAGGCGCGAAAGCGUGGGGAGCAAACAGGAUUAGAUACCCUAGUAGUCC